CUGCCAGCAGCCGCGGUAAGACGAACCGAGCGAACGUUGUUCGGAAUCACUGGGCUUAAAGGGCGCGUAGGCGGGCUGCCAAGUCCGUGGUGAAAUCCCCCGGCUCAACCGGGGAAGGGCCUCGGAUACUGGCGGCCUCGAGGGGGGUAGGGGCGUGCGGAACUGUGGGUGGAGCGGUGAAAUGCGUUGAUAUCCACAGGAACUCCGGUGGCGAAGGCGGCACGCUGGACCCCAUCUGACGCUGAGGCGCGAAAGCCAGGGGAGCGAACGGGAUUAGAAACCCUAGUAGUCC
rnacentral:rRNA from 1 species